UACGGGGGGGCAAGCGUUGUUCGGAAUUACUGGGCGUAAAGGGCUCGUAGGCGGCCAACUAAGUCGGAUGUGAAAUCCCCAGGCUUAACCUGGGAACUGCAUCCGAUACUGGAUGGCUUGAAUCCGGGAGAGGGAUGCGGAAUUCCAGGUGUAGCGGUGAAUGCGUAGAUAUCUGGAGGAACACCGGUGGCGAAGGCGGCAUCCUGGACCGGCAUUGACGCUGAGGAGCGAAAGCCAGGGGAGCAAACGGGA
rnacentral:rRNA from 1 species